CUAUGGCAGUCGUUGAGGUAACAUCUCUCGAAUUUUGUUCAUGACUGUUAAUUUACUCAUGAUUAAUUAAUGAUGUCCCGUGGAUUGAAAUGUGUGCAAAUGGCAUUGCAAAGAAGAACAAAAUUGGAACAGGCUAGUGAGAAAGACGGAUCGGUAUCAGGUGAGUGAUGCCUUCCUUUGUAAUGGUUAAGAGUGUGGGGCUUAUAGCAUGGUCUGGCUCCAAACAGUCUUGGAGUAGGGAAUAGCCUAGACUGGCCACUGCCAGUCUAGGAACAGGGCCCGGAUUGGCCCCUGCCAGGCCAGGAAAUACAGUCUAAAAUGGGAUGGAUGGGAGGACCAGGUUAGGUGGUAUAUUAAGGUUAGGGUAGUGACCUACAAAUUAAAAAUUUACCCCGCAUUCUUAACUUAUACCCAUUUCCUCAAGUUUUUUGUUAUAGGCUUAUGAAUCGGCUGCAAAGAAACAGAAAGAGGCGCGGAAAAUCAAACCACCUUGUAAAGAAACUUGCAGGAUGAAGUGCACCAGUAACAUAUCUCAUGAUCAAAGACAACACAUUUUUGAAUCAUACUGGAACCUAGGGGAUAUUGACCUUCAAAGAGAAUACAUAGCAAAAUGUACAAAGGAAGUAAAGCCAAUUUACAGAUGCAUAAGGGAAAAAAGACAGCGUGGACCAAGGGGAAACAACAUUUGGUAUUCCUUCCCAGUUGAUGGUACAUUAACAAGAGUCUGCAAAACAUUUUUCCUCAAUACUCUUGACAUAAAUGAUAGGGUUACUAGGACAGCAUUAACUAAACAGAAGAGAGCAGCAGGAUUGGUGUCUGAAGUAGAUAACAGAGGAAAACAUAAAAACCAUCCUACGCUUGAUCCACAAAUCAAAGAAGGAGUUAGAGCUCACAUAGAAGGAACUCCUAGAAUCGAAAGUCACUACACCAGGGCACGGACAGCUAGGGAAUACAUUUGUGGGUCUCGAAGCCUGGCAGACAUUCAUAGGGAUUAUGUCCAAGAAUGUAAAGAUAAGAAGAAGCCCUAUGCAACUUACUCAAUGUUCUACAAUAUUUUUCAGAAUGAGUACAAUAUCGCUUUCUUUGCUCCUAAGAAAGAUCAGUGUGACUUGUGUGUGUUGUUCAAUAAUGCAGAUGGGGAAGCUAAGGAAAACUUAAAAGAAAAGUAUGACACACAUCAAUGUGAAAAGGUACUUUCAAGGGAAGAGAAGAAGCAAGAUAAAACUGAAGGAAAUGCUAUAGUUGCUGUGUAUGAUCUACAAGCCGUACUGCAACUUCCACAAGGUGAUGUAUCCACCUUCUAUUACAAAUCAAAAUUUAAUGUCCUAAAUUUCACAAUUUAUGAUAUCAAGACUAAUGAAUGUGACUGUUUUCUUUGGGAUGAAACAAAUGGUAAUAGAGGAGUGAAUGAAAUAGGCUCUUGCAUCCUAAGUUAUAUUAAAGAAUUAUGUGAUAAGAAUCAAGGAGAAGACAACAUUGAAAUAAUUUUCUAUUCUGAUAACUGUGCUGGGCAACAAAAAAACAAAUUUAUGCUUGCAUUGUAUUUGUAUGUUGUCACUAAUUUGCCUGUUAAGUCAAUCACCCAUAAAUAUCUGAUAAAAGGCCACACACAGAAUGAAGGCGACUCUGCGCAUUCUCUGAUUGAAAAACAAAUAAGGAGACUGAAGAAAGGGGGACCAAUAUUCGUUCCUGAAACCCUUGUCACUGCGAUUCGCUCUGCAAAGAAAACAGGCCAGCCGUUCCAAGUUCGCGUAAUGCAGUAUGAUGACUUUAAAAAUGUGAAGUCUCUUACUACACAAAUGGGAGCAAUCAAUGUCAAAGAUUUAAGAUUAAGUGAAAUCAAAGUCAUGAAGUUUGAAAAGCAAUGUCCAGCCUCAGUCUUAGUGAAAUAUUCAUACAGUGAUGAAUUCAAACGUGUUCUAUUGAUCAGAAAACCAAAGGUUGCCACAGAUCUCUUGCAGUGUUACUCAGAGAAAAUUCCCCUAAGCGAAAAUAAGAAAAAAGAUCUUAAAGAACUCUGUGAAAAAGGCUUAAUCCCACGUCCCUAUUCGGACUUUUUUAACAACAUUACCUAAUUUUGAUGCUUAAUUGGUCACAAAGAUGUAAUACUUAUCAUUCAUUUUUUUUUUAUAACUGAGUUACGGCCAAGGGUAACAAAAAUUUAAAGGAAAUACUUGCUUCAUGUAAUUUAAACCUAUCUAUUUGAAAGAUUUCAUUAAUUUGAAGGAAAUUGUUUGCUUUAUGUGGCUGAACCAAUUGAUUUGAAAGAAAAAAAACUUUUUUUUUUUUUUUUUUACUUUUUUUUUUCUUGGUAUGCAUUUUGUUGGAAGAAUAACAACAGAAUAUAAUGGUAUAAUAUAUUUCUGAAUAGGUACACAGCAUUUAUGAUUUAUUUCAAUUUGUUUUGUUACUGAAUGGAUAAAUACUGUUCUUUUUGUAAGGAAUAUUUAGUUUUAUAAUAAACUGGAAUCAUA